rnacentral:rRNA from 1 species
CGUUGUCCGGAAUUAUUGGGCGUAAAGAGCUCGUAGGCGGUCUGACAAGUCUGAUGUGAAAUCUAUGGGCUCAACCCAUAGUCUGCAUCGGAAACUGUCGGGCUUGAGUAUGGGAGAGGUGAGUGGAAUUUCCGGUGUAGCGGUGAAAUGCGUAGAUAUCGGAAGGAACACCUGUGGCGAAAGCGGCUCACUGGACCAUUACUGACGCUGAGGCACGAAAGCUAGGGGAGCAAACAGG